rnacentral:misc_RNA from 1 species
CACGUACAAGAUCUGAGUAUAGUUCCUGUGAACCUCAUAAGUUACAUGUAGAUCCGCCUCCGGCAUCGAGCUGAGAUCUAUGAGGUGGAAGAACCAGGCGAAGUAUUCCUUAAUCCCAUGACCAGUUUCUGUCCUGGUUCAAUUCGAUAAAAAGUAACUACAUCACCUGCUUGCCACUUCUUCGAGACCAUGUAAUCUCUAAGUCCUUCCAGCACAUACAUUUUACUCCUUGAAUUAGGCCAAAACCGGAAGUGAAAAUUCCAUUCCUUGCCGUCGGUAUCCAGUAUAUUAAUGGGGAUCUUGUGUGGCCCAGAAAGUGGAGGAAAGUAAGCCUCAGCACACUUUUUGGGAAUCACAAGACGUGAUAAUGUGAGAUCAGCAUCAGUGGCAGUCAACGAUUUUUGAAACAAAGGGUUUAUGGAGAUCUUCUGCAAUUUUGACUCUGUGACACGAGGCCUGUACUGAGAUUCUAUCAUGGUUUGUGUGGCAUCCAGCUGAGAUUUUUCAGUUGGUACUGGAGUUUCAUGGGACAAGCAGCGAUUCCGUGCAAGAAUGAAGUUCUUCUUUGAGCAGUCCAUGCACAUAAUUCCACCAAAAUCCAACAGCAGAUAUGAGUUGAAAGACACAAUACAUCCACAAUGGAUCAACUUCCCACAAGAUUCACAAUCUCUCCAGCCAUCGUCACUUGGAUGGAAAAUCUCACAGAACCUCCCGUACUCAUAUACAGAAGCGCAACGAUGACAAAGCUGUGCGAAUUUGCCACUACGAAGGCGCCAGCCAUUUCUGAAGGUAACUGAGUUUGAUGAAUCUUCACAUUGAAAGCAGAAAGUUGUUGUCGAAGAAGAAGGAGAAGCCAUAGAUAGAGAAGAAGAAGAAGAAAAAACGAAACCCUAAAAACAGAGCAAAGACAAAAUUUU